UAUCCGAUGAAAAGUCCCUUGGAAUAGGGCAUCACAGAGGGUGAUAAUCCCGUAUUUUAUCGUGAUUUUGACGUCGUGUGUAGUAAUUUCAAAGAGUCGAGUUGUUUGGGAUUGCAGCUCAAAACGGGUGGUAAAUUCCAUCUAAGGCUAAAUAACGGCAAGAGACCGAUAGCGAACAAGUACCGUGAGGGAAAGGUGAAAAGAACUUUGAAAAGAGAGUUAAACAGUACGUGAAAUUGUUGAAAGGGAAACGAUUGAGGCCAGUCAUGCCUGCGAGAAAUCAAUCAUUUUGAUCAUGUUUGUUUUCGAAUUUGAUUAAUUGGUGCACUUUUUCGCGUGGCAGGUUAGCAUCAACUUUAAUGGUUGUAAAAUGGUGGUCGGAAUGUGACUCUAUUUUUUUAGAGUGUUAUAGCCGAUUGCAGAUGCAACGAUUGGGGUUGAGGUUUGCGGCAAAUGCCUUUGGGCUACUUACCUUCCUUCUGAUUUGUUCACUUUGGAAUGACAGCUUGCUGACAUUUUAAAGGGCGUUCAAUCAAUAGGGUAGAGUAUUGAUAAAUUUGCCAAGGAUGCUGACGUAAUGACCUUAAACGACCCGUCUUGAAACACGGACCAAGGAGUCUAACAUACGUGCAAGUGUUUGGGUGGCAAACCCAUACGCGAAAUGAAAGAUAAGUGUAGGUGGGAUCUGUCGUUUUCGACAGUGCAGCAUCAACC
rnacentral:rRNA from 1 species